GGUUGCGAUCAUACCAGCACUAAUGCACCGGAUCCCAUCAGAAAUCCGCAGUUAAGCGUGCUUGGGCGAGAGUAGUACUAGGAUGGGUGACCCCCUGGGAAGUCCUCGUGUUGCAACCC
rnacentral:rRNA from 1 species